AUUGAACGCUGGCGGCAGGCUUAACACAUGCAAGUCGAGCGAGCGGCGGACGGGUGAGUAAUGUCUGGGAAACUGCCUGAUGGAGGGGGAUAACUACUGGAAACGGUAGCUAAUACCGCAUACCAUCAGAUGUGCCCAGAGGGGAUUAGCUAGUGGGUGGGGUAAUGGCUCACCUAGGCGACGAUCCCUAGCUGGUCUGAGAGGAUGACCGGCCACACUGGAACUGAGACACGGUCAAGACUCCUAAGGGAGGCAGCAGUGGGGAAUAUUGAGCAAUGGGCGCAAGCCUGAGGCAGCAAUGCCGCGUGUGUGAGGAAGGCCUUCGGGUUGUAAAGCACUUUCAGCGAGGAGGCGUUACUCGCAGGAGAAGCACCGGCUAACUCCGUGCCAGCAGCCGCGGUAAUAC
rnacentral:rRNA from 1 species